CCUGAUGAAAGAAAGGGUGAAGGGUCAGACUCCUGUCAACUUUGCUCUCCUUGGUCUUCUCAGCUCCUUUAUAUAACUUUAGGUUUCGGGACACAGCAUGGAAACCACUACUCUAGACGACAGAUGUCAUGUUGGAGCAUUGCAGACUGCUCUUCUCCCUUCUGCCUUUACAUACAAGAUGCCUGUUGCUGAGAACACUUGUUCCCACUUCUCUAGCAGGCAAGGAUCUGGGCAGGACAACAACCACAGGCAUGUGCUUUCUCAUCAUGUGAUGUCAUCUGCCAGGUCAUGAUGCAGCAAGAAGGCCCUCACCAGAUGCCACCCCUCCAGAACCAUGAGCCAAAUAAAUGUCUGUUCUUUAUAAAUG
rnacentral:lncRNA from 10 species